UAGGGGGCCAUCCCGGCUUACCAACCCGAUGCAAACUGCGAAUACCGGAGAAUGUUAUCACGGGAGACACACGGCGGGUGCUAACGUCCGUCGUGAAGAGGGAAACAACCCAGACCGCCAGCUAAGGUCCCAAAGUCAUGGUUAAGUGGGAAACGAUGUGGGAAGGCCCAGACAGCCAGGAUGUUGGCUUAGAAGCAGCCAUCAUUUAAAGAAAGCGUAAUAGCUCACUGGUCGAGUCGGCCUGCGCGGAAGAUGUAACGGGGCUAAACCAUGCACCGAAGCUGCGGCAGCGACGCUGAUGCGUUGUUGGGUAGGGGAGCGUUCUGUAAGCCUGUGAAGGUGGCCUGUGAGGGUUGCUGGAGGUAUCAGAAGUGCGAAUGCUGACAUAAGUAACGAUAAAGCGGGUGAAAAGCCCGCUCGCCGGAAGACCAAGGGUUCCUGUCCAACGUUAAUCGGGGCAGGGUGAGUCGACCCCUAAGGCGAGGCCGAAAGGCGUAGUCGAUGGGAAACGGGUUAAUAUUCCCGUACUUGGUGUUACUGCGAAGGGGGGACGGAGAAGGCUAUGUUGGCCGGGCGACGGUUGUCCCGGUUUAAGCGUGUAGGUGUGUGUUCCAGGUAAAUCCGGUUCACUUUAACACUGAGGCGUGACGACGAGGCACUACGGUGCUGAAGCAACAAAUGCCCUGCUUCCAGGAAAAGCCUCUAAGCAUCAGGUAACAUCAAAUCGUACCCCAAACCGACACAGGUGGUCAGGUAGAGAAUACCAAGGCGCUUGAGAGAACUCGGGUGAAGGAACUAGGCAAAAUGGUGCCGUAACUUCGGGAGAAGGCACGCUGACAUGUAGGUGAAGUGAUUUACUCAUGGAGCUGAAGUCAGUCGAAGAUACCAGCUGGCUGCAACUGUUUAUUAAAAACACAGCACUGUGCAAACACGAAAGUGGACGUAUACGGUGUGACGCCUGCCCGGUGCCGGAAGGUUAAUUGAUGGGGUCAGCGCAAGCGAAGCUCCUGAUCGAAGCCCCGGUAAACGGCGGCCGUAACUAUAACGGUCCUAAGGUAGCGAAAUUCCUUGUCGGGUAAGUUCCGACCUGCACGAAUGGCGUAAUGAUGGCCAGGCUGUCUCCACCCGAGACUCAGUGAAAUUGAACUCGCUGUGAAGAUGCAGUGUACCCGCGGCAAGACGGAAAGACCCCGUGAACCUUUACUAUAGCUUGACACUGAACAUUGAGCCUUGAUGUGUAGGAUAGGUGGGAGGCUUUGAAGUGUGGACGCCAGUCUGCAUGGAGCCGACCUUGAAAUACCACCCUUUAAUGUUUGAUGUUCUAACGUGGACCCGUGAUCCGGGUUGCGGACAGUGUCUGGUGGGUAGUUUGACUGGGGCGGUCUCCUCCUAAAGAGUAACGGAGGAGCACGAAGGUUGGCUAAUCCUGGUCGGACAUCAGGAGGUUAGUGCAAUGGCAUAAGCCAGCUUGACUGCGAGCGUGACGGCGCGAGCAGGUGCGAAAGCAGGUCAUAGUGAUCCGGUGGUUCUGAAUGGAAGGGCCAUCGCUCAACGGAUAAAAGGUACUCCGGGGAUAACAGGCUGAUACCGCCCAAGAGUUCAUAUCGACGGCGGUGUUUGGCACCUCGAUGUCGGCUCAUCACAUCCUGGGGCUGAAGUAGGUCCCAAGGGUAUGGCUGUUCGCCAUUUAAAGUGGUACGCGAGCUGGGUUUAGAACGUCGUGAGACAGUUCGGUCCCUAUCUGCCGUGGGCGCUGGAGAACUGAGGGGGGCUGCUCCUAGUACGAGAGGACCGGAGUGGACGCAUCACUGGUGUUCGGGUUGUCAUGCCAAUGGCACUGCCCGGUAGCUAAAUGCGGAAGAGAUAAGUGCUGAAAGCAUCUAAGCACGAAACUUGCCCCGAGAUGAGUUCUCCCUGAGACUUUAGGUCUCCUGAAGGAACGUUGAAGACGACGACGUUGAUAGGCCGGGUGUGUAAGCGCAGCGAUGCGUUGAGCUAACCGGUACUAAUGAACCGUGAGGCUUAACCUU
rnacentral:rRNA from 1 species